rnacentral:rRNA from 1 species
CCUACGGGUGGCACCAGUGGGGAAUAUUGGACAAUGGGCGCAAGCCUGAUCCAGCCAUGCCGCGUGAGUGAUGAAGGCCCUAGGGUUGUAAAGCUCUUUCACCGGUGAAGAUAAUGACGGUAACCGGAGAAGAAGCCCCGGCUAACUUCGUGCCAGCAGCCGCGGUAAUACGAAGGGGGCUAGCGUUGUUCGGAAUUACUGGGCGUAAAGCGCACGUAGGCGGGUAUUUAAGUCAGGGGUGAAAUCCCAGAGCUCAACUCUGGAACUGCCUUUGAUACUGGGUACCUAGAGUAUGGAAGAGGUAAGUGGAAUUCCGAGUGUAGAGGUGAAAUUCGUAGAUAUUCGGAGGAACACCAGUGGCGAAGGCGGCUUACUGGUCCAUUACUGGCGCUGAGGUGCGAAAGAGUGGGGAGCAAACAGGAUUAGAUACCCUCGUAGUC